AGGGUUGGUCCUGAAUGAGAGGGCUCACGUGGACUCAGUGACCAUGCUCAGGAGUCUGGGGAGGGUGGAGGGGUCAGGUGGGGGCCCCGGGGCUACCGUCCACGCUCCGUGUUUCACACCUGAGGUGCUUCAGGCUGCAAACGAGGUUUCCCUGGGUCAGACAUUGUGAGCUUCCCUCCAACCUGUGUGCUGCCUUUUUGGGAUUCCACUGCUUUAUAAGCACUGGGAAGCCCCUGGACAGGCAGCUGCAGCUGGGCCCGUGGCCGGCCUGAACACUCCUGGAGUCUGAGGUUGCCCGUGAUGAGACAAUACUUUUAGGAAUCUUACAGUAUUCAGGGGAAGGCAGCAGUAGUUGGACAAAUUCAUGGGCCCAAGAAAAACGGAUGAAGGUAAAGUCACUGUGACUCCCAAUUACUCAGUGAGUAGACUGCGCAGUUGGCAGUAAGAGCAUGUUUGAAAAUUUCAGAAACCAAGAGAAAAACAAUAGUGCCUUUUAUACCCCUUUCUAAGAGGCGAUGUAAACGAUGUAAAGUGUGCUGAGCAACUCCAGUGCUAAGAAGCACCUCUCACUUCCUAACACACAGCCUAGAAACGCUGGUGUUUCUGGUGUAACUGGUGAAAGCAGGGUGCUCUGGGGAGUACGAGGUCACAGAGUUGGAGUGACUGACUCGAGAGAGAAGGGGGCUGAGGGCUUUAUGCAGAUUCAUUUCAUUUCAGCUUCUAUUAGGCAGAGAUUAUGGUUCCCAUUUAUAGGUAGGAAACGGGCACAGAGAAGUUCUGAUUGCUCCAAGUUCCAAGUCUGUGCUUCUUUAAAAAGGUGAGAAAAGAAAAACUAAAUGCAGCUAUUAACUGGUUAAGAAAUCUAUUAGUUUGACCUUUCCUGCCAACUUCCACUCCAGAGCAUAAGUACUUCCUUCGAGGAGACACAGAAGAACUCUGUAAGCCGCUGAGGCAAAAGCCAUGACAGAGCGUGCACUGAACAACCCUCUAGGAAUGUGUCCUCCCCACCCUCACUCUCCGUCCUCUGGGAGUCUGCGAAGCCAGUGAGCGUGGUGAGGUGAAAUUUAGCCCUAUUUUCCAGAAGACGGCACUGAGGAAGGAGAUAUGCAAACACAGCUUGUUCCUGGCACGGACCCAAUGCCAGACCUGUCCGUCUGUGUCCAGAACCCUUGCACCCAGAGCAGAAUGUUGCAAAUCAGAGCUGCCCAAGAGUGACGUGGUGCCCAGUCUGCCACCGGCCACACCUCUAACAAGCUCCUCCAGCCCGAUGUUGUUAAUCAGGCAGAUGUUGGGCCGAGCGGGGUGAGGCCAGGACCCAGAUGGAGCUGGUGCCCCAGGUGGCUGGACGUCAUCCAUCCCUGCGGUCCCACCUGGAGCUGGUGGGGUGAGUCCCACCUGGGCUGGGACCCUGCCAAGCACACCCCACUGAAAGCCGCUGAGCUGCGAGCCAGACACUCACCUCA